rnacentral:rRNA from 1 species
ACCGUACUCCUACGGGAGGCAGCAGUGGGGAAUUUUGGACAAUGGGGGCAACCCUGAUCCAGCAAUGCCGCGUGAGUGAAGAAGGCCUUCGGGUUGUAAAGCUCUUUUGUCAGGGAAGAAACGGUAGUAGCUAAUAUCUAUUACUAAUGACGGUACCUGAAGAAUAAGCACCGGCUAACUAUGUGCCAGCAGCCGCGGUAAUACGUAGGGUGCAAGCGUUAAUCGGAAUUACUGGGCGUAAAGCGUGCGCAGGCGGUUGUGUAAGUCAGAUGUGAAAUCCCCGGGCUCAACCUGGGAAUUGCAUUUGAGACUGCACGGCUAGAGUGUGUCAGAGGGUGGUAGAAUUCCACGUGUAGCAUUGAAAUGCGUAGAUAUGUGGAGGUAUACCGAUGGCGAAUGCAGCCCCCUGGGUUAACGCUGACGCUCAUGCACGAAAGCGUGGGGAGCAAACAGGAUUAGAUACCCCUGUAGUCCUUGAC